rnacentral:rRNA from 1 species
AUGAACGCUGGCGGCGUGCCUAAUACAUGCAAGUCGAGCGAACAGACGAGGAGCUUGCUCCUCUGACGUUAGCGGCGGACUGGUGAGUAACACGUGGAUAACCUACCUAUAAGACUGGGAUAACUUCGGGAAACCGGAGCUAAUACCGGAUAAUAUAUUGAACCGCAUGGUUCAAUAGUGAAAGACGGUUUUGCUGUCACUUAUAGAUGGAUCCGCGCCGCAUUAGCUAGUUGGUAAGGUAACGGCUUACCAAGGCAACGAUGCGUAGCCGACCUGAGAGGGUGAUCGGCCACACUGGAACUGAGACACGGUCCAGACUCCUACGGGAGGCAGCAGUAGGGAAUCUUCCGCAAUGGGCGAAAGCCUGACGGAGCAACGCCGCGUGAGUGAUGAAGGUCUUCGGAUCGUAAAACUCUGUUAUUAGGGAAGAACAAAUGUGUAAGUAACUAUGCACGUCUUGACGGUACCUAAUCAGAAAGCCACGGCUAACUACGUG